AUGUGCGUUGUGAAGGAGGAGAACCCGGCCGUGUUCCUCAAUGGCCACCUGCACUUCCUCUGCCGCUACGAUGGUGGCAUCCUCACUUUCAACGUCAUGGAUGAGACCUUCGGUUCCAUGCCACUGCCCCCAUAUCCUCUGGGGAAGGAUCCUCUCGGUCUCAGGACGACGGAGCUCGACGGUUGCCUAUGCGUCUUUGAUGCGGGCAGCGGCGACGGAGACGGUCUGUGCCAUGUAUGGCUGCUGCGUGAUUACGAGGCACAACGGUGGGAGCAGCUUUGUUGCAUCGACCGGGCCGCUUGGCCGGAGCCAGAGCGGACGCAGCUGGAAUCGAGCUGGAUAGCUCCUCUCGGCCUGUCUAAUGCUUCCAAUGGAUCAGACAAGAAGAUCAUGUUCGGCACGGGUACUUGCAUGGUGUUCACGGUAGACCAGAAUGGUGGUGGCGUACCAGAGAUUCUUUUCCGGCCUGACGAAGCCAUCGCCGGCAGUUUCAUUGACACGUAUGAUUUCCCGUAUGAUUUCCCGGCGCUUGGCCUGUUCGAGGAGAGUCUUGUGCCGGUAGGCCGCGACAUUGAGGAGAUGAUCUUCUCUUCACCUGUGACAGAAGCUUGGUACGACGUCCUCAAGUGGUUGCCAGCACAGUCCGUCUCAAAGCUCAGCCUCGUGUGCAGGGAAUGGCGCGCCAUGAUCACCACCGAUUGUUUCAUCCGAUCGCACGCCGCCGUCCACGCAACACGCCCGCGGAUCAAGUUUGCCAUAGACCCCUUGGUGGUUUCAUUCAGUGACCUGGAUGAUCACAUCAACAACCGGCUCUUCUAUGGCAAUGGCAUGCCAUACGAUAAUCCUGUCCAAUUUUCUCAACCAUGCCAUGGCCUAAACUUAGGGAGGUGGAGCUUUGGUGACUACCUAUACAAUCCUACCUUGGGCAUUAGUCAGAGAAUAGAAGAUGUCGAGAGAGAUGCAGUCUUUUUCGGCAGAUCUAUCGCGUUGGGGUUCGACUCCGAGGUGGAGGACCAUGUCAUGGUGUCACUUGCGUACGAGCAGAAGAACAUGGGAACGCGAGAGUACAAACUGAGGUGUGACGUGCGUAGUUUGCAAAGAGGCAAUUUCUGGUGCUCGUACGAUCCUCCACCAAGGCCAGUGGCAGUCAAUGUGCCGCCGGCCUACGUGAAUGGCAAGAUCUAUUGGGUGGUCGAACAUUUGCUUGCGCCAGAAUCCGAGGUGUGCGAACUCCUGGUGUUCGACGUCAUAGAUAGCGAGUUCGAGGUCAUGCAGGGUCCUUCAUGGAGCAGCCAUGGCAGCGGCCGUACGUCCAUCCUCGAGCUCUACGGUGCUAUCUCCAUGGCAUGGUGGGAUGACGACAGGAAUGCCAUUGACGUAUGGAGGAUGAAGGACAUGGACGGGGCUUGGUACGUGGAGUGUCGUGUCGAACUCGAUAAGUUCUCACCGCAAUACUCGUCGAGGGAGAUCACGCUGAUGUGUGCUGAUCCAAUUGGUGGACAGAUUUUGCUCAACACAGGGAGGUCGUUAGGCUACUAUAAUCCCGAGACGGCGACGCUUGAAACCAUCUACACUAGCUGUUGGUGA
rnacentral:rRNA from 1 species